GAUUGCAAGAUCGUUCUUGGCAUCAGUUGCAGUUGAUUAUCCUUGUAACGGGCCAACCUGGGUGGUGGUAAGACCCUGUCUGGAGUCCUCAGCCAGCAGGGUGACCUUGGCUGAAGGUAACUGCGGCCCCUCCUCAAUGACUGAGCACAUUGCACUUGUCGUGGGCCGUGAGGAAUCACUCCAUCCAGGCCUAGAGUGAAGGAGCCUUGACUGGGCUGUGUGCACCCCAAGUCACUCACCGGCUUUAAGCUACCAGCCCCAGUUCAUACUGGUUCCAUCCACACACAGACAAGGGUGUCCUGACCCCUGACACACAGUCCUAACCUUUGAUGUCCGUUGGCCACCUGGUUCCCCAUGAUGAGAAAAAAAAAAAAACAAACAAACAAAAUAAACAAAAUAACAACAAAAAA
ensembl:lincRNA Gm26784 predicted gene, 26784